rnacentral:tRNA from 1 species
GCCUGGCUGGCUCAGUCAGUUAAGCGUCUGACUUCAGCUCAGGUCAUGAUCUCACAGUUUUGGGUUCAAGCCCCACGUCGGGCU